ensembl:lncRNA
UCCAGAUCAGAUCAAAUCUGCAUCGACUGGUUCAAGGGGUCAGAAAAAAAUCUUUUAACUUUUACAGCCACAGAAAACAAACGAGUAAAGACUGAAUUCAAGAAAAACAUUCAGUACUGUUGUUUGCAAAACUUUAUUAGCAAUGAACAAAGUUACAGAGACAAUAAAUUAAUUAGUAAUAUGUGCCCUGGACUUGAAAUAUUUAAACUGCAGUAACAGACUGAAGCUUCUCCUUCAUGGAAGGAAAAGUUCAAAGCUUCACAGGUCAGAGAGGAAACAUCUGACUCUGCAGCUACAUGGAAAUAAUUACCAUCACUUUGGUUUCAUAACACUGUCCAUCAUAACAUUUAUUCAGCUGUAGCUGACCAGUGAGUCCUGAACACUAUCGGGCAGAUCACUGAUCGUCUGUAAUCUACAGUAAUUCGUCUUUUCUUCAUCACACACACACUGUAAAAUGUAAUAUUGUGUUUAAUUAAAAAUAUUAAAUAGGCUGAACUCAAUUUUUAUCAAUUUGUUAUUAGAACUCAAUUUAAAUAAGUUACCAGUACUUUUUAUGCAAAAAUGCUGAUAAACUCGAUUAAUUUGAGUUGUCCUAACUUAGAAAAACUAAGUAAGCUGGAAGUUUUGCUUCUCAGGGCGGAAGGAUGAAAGAUGUGUUUUGAAAAUGCCACGUGACUACUGUCCUCCCUCCCUCCUGGAUCAGUCCGCAUGUUCAUGGCGCCAGCAUUUGUUAUGGAAUAUAUUGAGCAAACCUGGAGAUAUUAUUGUUGUCAUUGCUGUGGAUCUUUACUGACUUGGCUCGGGAUCGGCACUCCUGUUGUUGGACAGAAAGACACCAACUCAGUGACUUGAGAUAUGACUGCACUAUGCUGUUGCUGUGACUCCAGUUAAUUCUACAAGACAUGCUGUGACACCAGGAGAGAUGAGUCCUCCAUCACAGAUGGUGUGGUCAGUGAAGAUGGUCGCCUACAGGUUCAAGCUCAUUGCAUCUCCAACCCACAUCCACUGCCACUGUACUUAAGGGAAGUUAAAGACUUUCUUCUGCACCUACAUUUGGAUCACCUCGAUCCAUGACAGUCAUUCAGGCAGUAAUGCCUGGACUGGAAACAAGCCAUCCUUAAAAUAUUACAACAUUCCAGCUCAUGUGUUGGAAUGAAAAACGAAUGUGUUGUUUAAAUCAGAGACUGCACUUGUGACAGAACAACAAAUAUUUUAUGUUGAUUAUAUAAAUAAUGUAAGUACAAAACAAACCUAAACUUAUUUUCAGAAUAAUUACAUCUGAGACUUUGUUUCAUUGUAAGAUUAUAACAGUGAUGGCAAUAUAAUUUUUAUUCAGCAGAACAGUGUCCAGUAUGUUGGCUGUUGUACUUUGUUGUGUUUGAAAAUAAAAGUUGUGCUCAUUUUAACAUCAUUACAAAAAUUGUUGUUAAUUAUUUUUAAUCAUAUUCAUGGUACCACAAAUUGUUUUUUCAUUUAGUUGAACUUGAAAUGUUUGUCAGUAGGUAAACAAUUAGUAUUGUCAGAAAGUGAGAAAUAUCAAGUUAUUCUUAAUACUGCAGACUUGCAAUGUAUAAGUUGUCCUAACAGUCAUCGUAAGUAAGCUUUACUUAGUUUUUUUGAGGCAACGAGUUUCCAUAAUUUUUUUGAGUUCUGGGAACUAACACGGCUGUGUACAUUUUGAGUACAGUGUACUCAAAAUGAGUAAGCUGCCCUAACUUGGUCAUCUUACGUAAACUUGAUCCAAUUUUUUUGAGUUCUGGGAACAAAUGAGCUUGUACAGAGUACUCAAAAUAAAUACGUUGUCCUAACUUAGUCAUUUUUAGCUAAGCUUUACUCAAUUUUUUUGAGGCAACGAGUUUCCAUAAUUUUUUUGAGUUCUGGGAACUAAUUAGAUUUUACAGUGCAGUGUUUGUGUUGUCAGUCGGUUCGGUAUGUGUGACAGUAAUUAUACUGUAACAGCUGAUCUCUACAUGAGGAUUAGUUUGUGUUUCAAAUCUCACAGAAAAGGUUUGAUCUUACAAACAGCUGAACUUGAAAUGAUUCUGAUGAACUCAUGAAUACUGAGUAAAAUCAAGCUAUGAGCAACAUGAGAUCUUUUGUUUGAAAUGAGUUCACUCUGAAAUAUUUGUGUGGAGAAACACAAAAAACCAUCACUAAAUUUUGUUUGAUGUGUUUUGUUUGAUAAUAGGAACUCCUGGAUGUUCAUCAUAUAAGUGAGGCGGAAAUAUAAAGACGUUUUCAAAGAAUUUGCUUUGAACUUUUACACUGAGAUGAGCAGGUAGGGCUGUGCGAUAUGAACAAAAUCUCAUAUCCCGAUAUUAAGACAUCUAUCGUCCGAUAACGAAUUAAAUCACAAAAAUGUAACAUUUUCUGUAAAUUCUGUGAAUCUCGGGCAUCUCGACUAGCGUGAAGUGUUUUCAGCUGGGCGUCGCGUACCUGGAGUCGAGUGUUUUAACUGAUGCAUGAAACGAUACAUUUUUAGACAUAUGUUGUAGCGGCGGCCGUUUUCUUUGUAUUUAUUACACAGCGUGCUGUGGGGAAAAGCCUGUUCUAACGUUUGAAUCUAAGGUUUAUUUUUUAGCACCUGACAGCUCUUUUUUGCUUCUCAUCCGUAAAUACUCUGCAUCUUUCACGUGAUUCAGUUUAUUUUGAAAAGUCUCAACAGGAUCUUGAGCUUUAUUGUGAAAGGUUUAUGUGGAAAAAUAAACAAGCGGACAUGUCGUGGUUUUACCGUCGUUGUUGCUAACGACAACGCAUAAAAACAAGCGCUUGUCUGUCUGUAGUGUGGUUAUAUUAAAUAUAAGAGAAAGAGAAAACUUUAAGAAAUUAAGAUAGCCACUACAGUGACCAUCAAAAUGAUGAAAAAAUAUUGCCGUAAACAGUUUAUUUUGCGACACCACGAAACAAACGAUAGCGUAAAAUGAACCGAUAGACGUUUUUAUAUCGUCAUCCGAUAUAUAUCGUUAUAUCGAACAGCCCUAUGAGCAGGUAACCUGAAAAGCUGAAUAAAUAGAGCCACUGAUUCUAAUGUUGUAAUGUAAUAUAUCAAAUUGAAGCUGAUAUAAUAGUCUAAAGAUGUUUUAUAAUAAUCAGAGAAAGGCAAAAUCAAAAUGAAAUCUAGAUGUGUUUGUCAUCUGACAGAGUAAAAUUCAGCAUCCCCUGUUGCUGUUUGUUAGGAUAAUUAUUGAUUUUCAAAGAAAACAUUGAAAAGAACAGAAGGAUUCUCAAAGCUGAGUUAUAAAACACUCCUUUGUUUUUGAUAGAACAGAUAACUGACAACAGCGGCAACAAGAACAAGGACAGCAGAAACUGACAGACUGACAAUCAGUACAACAGAUACAGCCUCUUUGUGUCCUCCUGCCUCCUUCCCUCCUGCCUCCUUCCCUCCAUCCUCUGUGUCUCCUCCUGGCUGACCUGCAGGUGAGAAACAGGUGUGAGGUGUCAGCUGUCAG